rnacentral:rRNA from 1 species
UGAAUUUCGGGAUUAUAGGAUCGGUCGUGCCUCUGGUACGUACUGUCUCAGUCGCCUUGACCCCUCUGAAGAACCGUGAUGUCAUUAAUUUGGUGUUACGGGGAAUCAGGACUGUUACCUUGAAAAAAUUAGAGUGUUUAAAGCAGGCUAACGCUUGAAUACAUUAGCAUGGAAUAAUGAAAUAGGACGUUCGAACCUAUUUUGUUGGUUUCUAGGAUCGACGUAAUGAUUAAUAGGGAUGGUUGGGGGCAUUAGUAUUCGAUUGUCAGAGGUGAAAUUCUUGGAUUUAUUGAAGACUAACUACUGCGAAAGCAUUUGCCAAGGAUGUUUUCAUUAAUCAAGAACGAAAGUUAGGGGAUCGAAGACGAUCAGAUACC